rnacentral:rRNA from 1 species
UACAGAGGUCCCAAGCGUUUGUUCGGAUUCACUGGGCGUAAAGGGUGCGUAGGUGGCCAGGUAAGUUCGGUGUGAAAGCUCGGAGCUUAACUCCGAAAUGGCAUUGAAUACUAUCUGGCUAGAGGGUCGGAGGGGAGACUGGAAUUCUCGGUGUAGCAGUGAAAUGCGUAGAUAUCGAGAGGAACACCAGUGGCGAAGGCGAGUCUCUGGACGACUCCUGACACUGAGGCACGAAAAGCCAGGGGGAGCAAAACAGG